rnacentral:rRNA from 1 species
GACGAACGUUGGCGGCGUGCUUAACACAUGCAAGUCGAACGGAAAGGCCCUGCUUUUGUGGGGUGCUCGAGUGGCGAACGGGUGAGUAACACGUGAGUAACCUGCCCUUGACUUUGGGAUAACUUCAGGAAACUGGGGCUAAUACCGGAUAGGAGCUCCUGCUGCAUGGUGGGGGUUGGAAAGUUUCGGCGGUUGGGGAUGGACUCGCGGCUUAUCAGCUCGUUGGUGGGGUAGUGGCUUACCAAGGCUUUGACGGGUAGCCGGCCUGAGAGGGUGACCGGCCACAUUGGGACUGAGAUACGGCCCAGACUCCUACGGGAGGCAGCAGUGGGGAAUAUUGCACAAUGGGCGGAAGCCUGAUGCAGCAACGCCGCGUGCGGGAUGACGGCCUUCGGGUUGUAAACCGCUUUCGCCUGUGACGAAGCGUGAGUGACGGUAAUGGGUAAAGAAGCACCGGCUAACUACGUGCCAGCAGCCGCGGUGAUACGUAGGGUGCGAGCGUUGUCCGGAUUUAUUGGGCGUAAAGGGCUCGUAGGUGGUUGAUCGCGUCGGAAGUGUAAUCUUGGGGCUUAACCCUGAGCGUGCUUUCGAUACGGGUUGACUUGAGGAAGGUAGGGGAGAAUGGAAUUCCUGGUGGAGCGGUGGAAUGCGCAGAUAUCAGGAGGAACACCAGUGGCGAAGGCGGUUCUCUGGGCCUUUCCUGACGCUGAGGAGCGAAAGCGUGGGGAGCGAACAGGCUUAGAUACCCUGGUAGUCCACGCUGUAAACGGUGGGUACUAGGUGUGGGGUCCAUUCCACGGGUUCCGUGCCGUAGCUAACGCUUUAAGUACCCCGCCUGGGGAGUACGGCCGCAAGGCUAAAACUCAAAGGAAUUGACGGGGCCCCGCACAAGCGGCGGAGCAUGCGGAUUAAUUCGAUGCAACGCGUAGAACCUUACCUGGGUUUGACAUGGAUCGGGAGUGCUCAGAGAUGGGUGUGCCUCUUUUGGGGUCGGUUCACAGGUGGUGCAUGCCUGUCGUCAGCUCGUGUCGUGAGAUGUUGGGUUAAGUCCCGCAACGAGCGCAACCCUUGUUCACUGUUGCCAGCACGUUAUGGUGGGGACUCAGUGGAGACCGCCGGGGUCAACUCGGAGGAAGGUGGGGAUGACGUCAAGUCAUCAUGCCCCUUAUGUCCAGGGCUUCACGCAUGCUACAAUGGCUGGUACAGAGAGUGGCGAGCCUGUGAGGGUGAGCGAAUCUCGGAAAGCCGGUCUCAGUUCGGAUUGGGGUCUGCAACUCGACCUCAUGAAGUCGGAGUCGCUAGUAAUCGCAGAUCAGCAACGCUGCGGUGAAUACGUUCCCGGG